UCAAACUUGGUCAUUUAGAGGAAGUAAAAGUCGUAACAAGGUUUCCGUAGGUGAACCUGCGGAAGGAUCAUCACUGAUUCGGGGGAGAGAGUGUGUGUACGUGUGUGUUCAUGCAUGCACGUGCGCCACGCCACCCCAAACAAUCUUUUGUGCACGGUUUUCACGGUCAACGAGACGCCGCGCGUGUGUUGGCAAGUAGUCAGUUCUCUCUCUCCCCACAAUGCGUAGGGGGGAGGGGUGACUCUUGCCAACCGCACGCGUCCGUGCGUUCUCUUAUUACAAUCUCUUGUGGAAUCUCUGUCUAACGUGCGUUAUUUAAACACUAACACAAUACAACUUUCAACAAUGGAUCUCUUGGCUCUCGCAUCGAUGAAGAACGCAGC
rnacentral:misc_RNA from 1 species